AUUCCCCAAUAGUCAAUCCUGACAUAAAGGUGUUAAAAAAGACAUAAUGGGAUAACCCCAUUCUCACUUCAUUUGUGCUGAUUGCUGUUAAAGAAGGCAAGAAAGGAAUAUGAAGCCUACCAGGAAAACAAAGAACAGCUCAAUUUCGUAAGCAGAAUACGUUGUUGUUUGUUUGUGUUAUAAAAAUUGAGUCCAGUCCCUCUACGGGGAGGGGAGUGGCUAUACUGCGUGUACUGCUGCCCUUCAGUAUGAUAUUUGUAUGCGAUUCGCCGAUUUGUGAAGUGUGAUUAAAUGGAGGAGAGAAAAUCAUCGUCUGCACUCUGUAGUAAGUGCAAACUGUUUGAUAUUCACGUACUGUACUUGGUUUAUAAAAAAAGUUGUUAUUAAUCUUAGGAACUCGUAAUUGAUUGAAAGUUGUGCAGUUUCUAAUACUCUCUUGCUCUGUCAAGUGUAUUGUGCAAUAUGAGUCAAUUAUCUCUGCACUGGACGCUUCUCUGCUGUCUCCCUUCCAGGUUUUAGGCCACAUGAAAACAGCAUGCGUCCCUGACAUUGGGGUGGCUACUUUUUUAUUCAGAGUUGACUCUGGAACACAUACCGUUAUUGGCAUCAUGGCAUGGUUGUGUAUAGUUGGGCAGUGGAGGUUGAGAAGCAAGCUGGUGUCAAGAUCAUUCCAGGCAAUCUGCCGGAAGAGGAUUCACAACUGUUGAAGGUGGAAAAGGGGAGAGAGUCCAGUGAAAGAUGCAGAGUCAAAAGCAGCAAUAUGUAAUGAAGUUUAAAUUGGGUUAUACUUUUCAAGCUGUGUAACAAUCUAAACGGCAGAUGAAAUCCAAGCAGAAUCCAGUGACUGCGUUCUUCUUUUGUCGGAUUCUUCGAAUGGAAGAGUAACAUUCGAAGAAAGUAGCAAAUGAAGUGCCCUGCAACGAUUAGACAAUAGUGAAUGAAAUGAGGCAGGCCAUAUAUAAACAAGGUGAUCUGGAUACUUGCAAAAUCCAUGAAAGGAAAAUAAUAGCAAGAUGUACUCUUUCAAGGAUAUUGGGAUGGUUUUGAUUUGGGCCAAGAAUGACCAAAAUUCCAAAGUGCAGGUCACCCUGAUACUGGCCUCUGAUAUUUCAAUGCACAGGGCUUUUUAAUCAGCUUAGCUCGUGUAAAUAUGAAGUGCCCAGAUUGUGGUCAGUAGAUCCAUAAAAUACAGGUUAUUUCUUCAGUUGAUGGCUAUGCUACGAACUUGUCGGAUUAGUCUUUUUUUUUGAAGUGCCAACAUGUAGUUUCAGCAUUUGACAGAAAAAAGAAUUAAGAUUUUCGUGCUAGUGUCCAUGUUUGCACU